rnacentral:rRNA from 1 species
CCUACGGGUGGCAGCAGUGGGGAAUCUUCCGCAAUGGGCGAAAGCCUGACGGAGCAACGCCGCGUGAUCGAAUGAAGGCCUUCGGGUUGUAAAGAUCUGUUGACAGGGACGAAUAAGCCAUGCGAAUAGUUUGGUGUAUGACGGUACCUGUUUAGAAAGCUCCGGCUAACUACGGGCCAGCAGCCGCGGAAAUACGUAGGGAGCAAGCGCUGUCCGGAAUUACUGGGCGUAAAGGGCGCGUAGGUGGGUGCGUAAGUCAGGUGUGAAAACUCUGGGCUCAACCUGGAGACUGCACUUGAAACUGGGUAUCUUGAGGGAAGGAGAGGAAAGUGGAAUGCCUAGUGUAGCGGUGAAAUGCGUAGAUAUUAGGAGGAACACCAGUGGCGAAGGCGACUUUCUGGACUGUACCUGACGCUGAGGCGCGAAAGCGUGGGUAGCGAACGGGAUUAGAUACCCUUGUAGUC